rnacentral:rRNA from 1 species
CCUACGGGGGGCUGCAGUGAGGAAUAUUGGUCAAUGGACGCGAGCCUGAACCAGCCAAGUAGCGUGAAGGAUGACUGCCCUACGGGUUUUAAACUUCUUUUAUAAAGGAAUAAAGUGAGCCACGUGUGCGUUUUUGUAUGUACUUUAUGAAUAAGGAUCGGCUAACUCCGUGCCAGCAGCCGCGGUAAUACGGAGGAUCCGAGCGUUAUCCGGAUUUAUUGGGUUUAAAGGGAGCGUAGAUGGGUUGUUAAGUCAGUUGUGAAAGUUUGCGGCUCAACCGUAAAAUUGCAAUUGAUACUGGCAGUCUUGAGUACAGUUGAGGUGGGCGGAAUUCGUGGUGUAGCGGUGAAAUGCUUAGAUAUCACGAAGAACUCCGAUUGCGAAGGCAGUUCACUAAACUGCCACUGACAUUGAUGCUCGAAAGUGUGGGUAUCAAACAGGAUUAGAUACCCGGGUAGUC